UGCCAGCCGCCGCGGUAAUACGGGGGGUGCAAGCGUUGUUCGGAUUGACUGGGCGUAAAGAGCGCGUAGGCGGAUUUGUAAGUCGAUUGUGAAAGCCCAGGGCUUAACCCUGGAAUUGCAAUCGAAACUACAAGUCUUGAAUACCCAAGGGGUUGGUGGAAUUCCAGGUGUAGCAGUGAAAUGCGUAGAUAUCUGGAGGAACACCAGAGGCGAAGGCGGCCAACUGGUGGUGUAUUGACGCUGAGGCGCGAAAGCGUGGGUAGCAAACAGGAUUAGAUA
rnacentral:rRNA from 1 species